rnacentral:rRNA from 1 species
AACGAACGCUGGCGGCAUGCCUAACACAUGCAAGUCGAACGAGACCUUCGGGUCUAGUGGCGCACGGGUGCGUAACGCGUGGGAACCUGCCCUUAGGUUCGGAAUAACUCCCCGAAAGGGGUGCUAAUACCGGAUAAUGUCUUCGGACCAAAGAUUUAUCGCCUUUGGAUGGGCCCGCGUUGGAUUAGCUAGUUGGUAGGGUAAAAGCCUACCAAGGCGACGAUCCAUAGCUGGUCAGAGAGGAUGAUCAGCCACACUGGGACUGAGACACGGCCCAGACUCCUACGGGAGGCAGCAGUGGGGAAUAUUGGACAACGGGCGGAAGCAUGAUCCAGCAAUGCCGCGUGAGUGAUGAAGGCCUUAGGGUUGUAAAGCUCUUUUACCCGGGAUGAUAAUGACAGUACCGGGAGAAUAAGCUCCGGCUAACUCCGUG